AUUGAACGCUGGCGGCAGGCCUAACACAUGCAAGUCGAGCGGAUGAAGAGAGCUUGCUCUCUGAUUCAGCGGCGGACGGGUGAGUAAUGCCUAGGAAUCUGCCUGGUAGUGGGGGACAACGUUUCGAAAGGAACGCUAAUACCGCAUACGUCCUACGGGAGAAAGUGGGGGAGCUUCGGACCUCACGCUAUCAGAUGAGGCGAGGUACGAUUAGCUAGUUGGUGAGGUAAAGGCUCACCAAGGCGACGAUCGUUAACUGGUCUGAGAGGAUGGUCAGUCACACUGGAACUGAGACACGGUCCAGACUCCUACGGGAGGCAGCAGUGGGGAAUAUUGGACAAUGGGCGAAAGCCUGAUCCAGCCAUGCCGCGUGUGUGAAGAAGGUCUUCGGAUUGUAAAGCACUUUAAGUUGGGAGGAAGGGCAGUAAGUUAAUACCUUGCUGUUUUGACGUUACCGACAGAAUAAGCACCGGCUAACUUCGUGCCAGCCGCCGCAGUAAAAC
rnacentral:rRNA from 1 species